AUGAGAACGUAGCGAAAUGCGAUAAGUAAUGUGAAUUGCAGAAUUCAGUGAAUCAUCGAAUCUUUGAACGCACAUUGCGCCCGCCAGUAUUCUGGCGGGCAUGCCUGUCUGAGCGUCAUUUCAACCCUCAUGCCCCUAGGGCGUGGUGUUGGGGAUCGGCCAAAGCCCGCGAGGGACGGCCGGCCCCUAAAUCUAGUGGCGGACCCGUCGUGGCCUCCUCUGCGAAGUAGUGAUAUUCCGCAUCGGAGAGCGAUGAGCCCCUGCCGUUAAACCCCCAACUUUCCAAGGUUGACCUCAGAUCAGGUAGGAAUACCCGCUGAACUUAAGCAUAUCAAUAAGCGGAGGA
rnacentral:misc_RNA from 1 species